GACGAACGCUGGCGGCGUGCUUAACACAUGCAAGUCGAACGCUGAAGCUUGGUGCUUGCACUGGGUGGAUGAGUGGCGAACGGGUGAGUAAUACGUGAGUAACCUGCCCUUGACUCUGGGAUAAGCCUGGGAAACUGGGUCUAAUACUGGAUACGACAUGUCACCGCAUGGUGGUGUGUGGAAAGGGUUUUACUGGUUUUGGAUGGGCUCACGGCCUAUCAGCUUGUUGGUGGGGUAAUGGCUCACCAAGGCGACGACGGGUAGCCGGCCUGAGAGGGUGACCGGCGACACUGGGACUGAGACACGGCCCAGACUCCUACGGGAGGCAGCAGUGGGGAAUAUUGCACAAUGGGCGGAAGCCUGAUGCAGCGACGCCGCGUGAGGGAUGACGGCCUUCGGGUUGUAAACCUCUUUCAGCACGGAAGAAGCGAAAGUGACGGUACGUGCAGAAGAAGCGCCGGCUAACUACGUG
rnacentral:rRNA from 1 species